rnacentral:tRNA from 1 species
GGGGUUGUGGCUCAGAGGUGGAGUGCUCACCUAGUAUGCAAGAGGCACUGGGUUCAAUCCUCAGCACCACA